UUUCUUAUAGGUCCUGGACACAGAAUCAGACGAAUCUUUCCAAAAAGAUAAUUUUGCUAAACAGCACCUGGAUGCUCCGGGUUGUGAGGACUUGUGAGAAGCACGCUUUGGAGGACUAUCUCAGAUGGCUCUGACUGUUUCAGACAUGGGGAACAUGUUCACUCCAGAUCUCAGCCCACCAGGAAAUAACGGGCAGCAGAAGGAGGGCAAAACACUUGGAUUCUGGGCAGAUGUUCUAUCUGAUUCUGAGGGUUUGAAUUGACUAGCUUUCUAGUCUCCCAAACUGAUUAAGCUACUUGAAUAAAGGGUGAAAGAUUUUCAUUAAUGCAAACAUUAACAGCACUGACUUUCUUCUUUCAGAGAAAUUACCGGCUGUGUCCCUGGAGGAGUUGCUGAUGUUUGCUAUCGGUCUGGCUGCACUUCCACCAGCACGAAUGAUGCCAACUCCACGAAUCCAGAUCAUAAGUGAAUCACCAUUUCCAGUAGCAAACACUUGUGCAAAUAUACUAAAGCUACCACUAGUAGAUACGUAUAGUGUGUUUAAGGAAAAUAUGGACUUUGGAAUGCAAAAUGUUCCAGGACUUGGGUGUUUUUGAGACCGUACUUGUCAGUUGAUGAUAAGUCCAGUUCAGCUGCUGUUGGCAUUGUUCUCUAACACGACACUAAGUUAUUAAGAAGAACUGUUAAACAGUUUGUUUCUUUGUUCUCAGAGCAAAAUAUUGUGUACUGUAACAGGAAAUAGAAAAUAUUGUGUUUAAAGUAUGUCAGGUCUAAGACUCAUGUGCUUCAGAGUUCAAUAAAAUUCUCAGGCAGA